GUUUGGGACCCCUUUGUGCAUAUACCAGAGUAUAUGUGAGUGGAGACGCUGAGUUAUGCAUGUUAGAGUGUGUUGGAGACGUUGUGCAUGAGAGGAAGCAAGGUUCUGCCUUCUGGAGAACCCAGCUUCGGCCGCCGAAGUGAAGAUUCGGCCGCCAAACCUCUUGUGGAGUGGAGUUGCUUGACAGGUUUGUUUAUGCACGAAGCUGAGUUCUGGAUAAACUCAGGUUCGGCCGCCGAAGGGAGGAUUCGGCCGCCGAACCCCUUGUGGAGGUAGUUUCGGCUGCCUAAGGUUGCCUCCGAAAGAAUGGACUUUCGGAUCUGUCAUGCACAUUCGGCCGCCGAAGGUGCCGCCGAACAUGCAUGAGUUUCGGCUCUGGAGAGGACAUUCGGCCGCCGAACCUGCUGCCGAAUGUGUUCUGUCCAGCCUUCUUUUGCAUGCGUUAUGUGAUUAUUUUCAGAGGUUUAGAGGGGAUUAUGGGGAUUUGUUUAAGAGUUAUUCAAAGUAUGUGUGACACCUCAUUCGAGUCCAUUUGUGUAGGAUUGGACCCGAGAGUUCGAGGAGGUCAUCAGAGUUAGAGAUAUCAGAGUCAGUACAAUAUCUGCCAGAAGAGCAGAGGUGAGUGGAACUAAACUGAAUAUUUUAUUUUGAGAAAUGACACGAGUCUAGCAUGAUCCAUGCAUCAUAAAAUGCCAUGUUAUGUAAUAGGUUGUAUUGCAUUAGAAUCCACGAAUUUGAUGCAUUGCAUAAAUUGUUGUUGUGGUGUGGAUGAACGUUGGGUGAUCCUUAGCCCUUGACAUGAGAUAAGAUACUACUACAGAGAUAUGGCAUGAGAUAGCCAUUCCAGGUCGCUCCUGGAUAGUCCAGGUCGCUCCUGGUACUCAGUUACAGAUAGACAUACAGCAUAAGAGAAGACUGGGUGAUGGCUCCGCCUCCCUAGCAUUAUUGGAUUUGUUGUGAUAUGAUACAGUACAGAGAAGACUGGGUGAUGGUUCUACCUCCCUAGCACAGUUGGGCAGAAAAGUCUAGGUGAUGGCUCUGCCUCCCUAGCAAGUAGGGUAUUUGUUUAUAGUAGGGGGCUAUAGGUGACAAGUUCAUCCGUUUGAUGAUUUGUUUGUGAGGUGACGCAUUUCAUGAUAACAUGUAAUUAAUGAACUGUUUUACUGUUCCUCCUCACUGGGCUAUAGAGCUCAUCCCUCUCCCUUAACCCCAGUUUUGCAGGUUCUGAGAUAGCUAUGGGAAGUCAAAGUCAGCAAGAGUACAGAGGAAAGUUAUGCAUGAAUGUAUGUUUGUAAUAGCAUAGUGGACAUGAUGUAAUUAAAAGAUUAGUUGUACUGUAAUGUAUAGAUAUGUACUGUCAUAUGCUGGAUAGACUUAUGCUUUCCCUAGUGUCAUUGCUACAGUGUGAUGUAUGAUUAAUCCCUUGUACAUGAAUCCUGUUUUACGUUUCUUGAUGAGAAAUGUGUGAGUUAGGCUUAAUGCAUGGCUUGGAUGAGAUACCAGUGGGAUGUGUUACAGAUUAAAAAGGGUUUCAAUCCCUUGAGCCACAGCAAAUGGUAGUCCCUGGUAUAGGCCCUGAGGGCCAUUUCAGAUUGACAUAUCUGAGUAGCAGUAGUUAAGCCUACAUAGUUUUUCCAGGAUUGUUGAGUCGUUCUGUAUCAUGUAUGGGAUUUAUCAGGUACACAGCAAGUAAAGUUGGCUAACUACGGGUCCCGGCGGCCUUAAGCCGAUCUGGAUCCUAGUGCCAGUGAUGGUUCGGACCGUUACUGAGGGGUACCGGUUUCCGGGUCGUUACAGAUUGGUAUCAGAGCAUAGGGCCUCAAGAGUACGGUGUGUUGAGCAUCUUUGCUCAAGGAUUAGAGAUAUCCCACAUCGGAAAGAGGUGUUGUCUUGUAUAGGAGGGGAAGCACAAUAGGUAAAAUCAUGUCCACUAGGAUAGGAU
rnacentral:lncRNA from 1 species